GACGAACGCUGGCGGCGUGCUUAACACAUGCAAGUCGAACGGAAAGGCCCUGCUUUUGUGGGGUGCUCGAGUGGCGAACGGGUGAGUAACACGUGAGUAACCUGCCCUUGACUUUGGGAUAACUUCAGGAAACUGGGGCUAAUCCCGGAUAGGAGCUCCUGCUGCAUGGUGGGGGUUGGAAAGUUUCGGCGGUUGGGGAUGGACUCGCGGCUUAUCAGCUUGUUGGUGGGGUAGUGGCUUACCAAGGCUUUGACGGGUAGCCGGCCUGAGAGGGUGACCGGCCACAUUGGGACUGAGAUACGGCAGAGGCUCCUACGGGAGGCAGCAGUGGGGAAUAUUGCACAAUGGGCGGAAGGCUGAUGCAGCAACGCCGCGUGCUGGAUGACGGCCUUCGGGUUGUAAACCGCUUUCGCCUGUGACGAAGCGUGAGUGACGGUAAUGGGUAAAGAAGCACCGGCUAACUACGUG
rnacentral:rRNA from 1 species